rnacentral:rRNA from 1 species
UGGGGGAUAUUGCACAAUGGGCGAAAGCCUGAUGCAGCGACGCCGCGUGGGGGAUGAAGGCCUUCGGGUUGUAAACUUCUUUUGCUCUGAACAAGGCAUGCCUUUGGGGUGUGUUGAGUGUAGGGGUUGAUUAGCGCCGGCUAACUACGUGCCAGCAGCCGCGGUAAUACGUAGGGCGCGAGCGUUGUCCGGAAUUAUUGGGCGUAAAGGGCUUGUAGGUGGCUGGUUGCGUCUGUCGUGAAAGCUCAUGGCUUAACUGUAGGUUUGCGGUGGGUACGGGCUGGCUUGAGUGAAAGAGGGGAGGCUGGAAUUCCUGGUGUAGCGGUGGAAUGCGCAGAGAUCAGGAGGAAUACCGGUGGCGAAGGCGGGUCUCUCGGCUGUUACUGACGCUGAGGAGCGAACGCGUGGGGUGCGAACAGG